rnacentral:rRNA from 1 species
UACGGAGGGUCCGAGCGUUAAUCGGAAUUACUGGGCGUAAAGCGUGCGCAGGCGGUUUGUUAAGCGAGAUGUGAAAGCCCUGGGCUCAACCUAGGAAUAGCAUUUCGAACUGGCGAACUAGAGUCUUGUAGAGGGGGGUAGAAUUCCAGGUGUAGCGGUGAAAUGCGUAGAGAUCUGGAGGAAUACCGGUGGCGAAGGCGGCCCCCUGGACAAAGACUGACGCUCAUGCACGAAAGCGUGGGGAGCAAACAGGAUUAGAUACCCGUGUAGUCC